rnacentral:tRNA from 3 species
GCGGGAGUAGCUCAUCUGGUAGAGCGCAACCUUGCCAAGGUUGAGGUAGCGGGUUCGAGCCCCGUCUCCCGCUCCA